CGCGGCUGCGCGGGGAGUCCCAGAGGUCCAGCAGCUGCGGGCAGGGGGGCAUGACCACCACCCACCCGAGCUCCCCACCCAACCCUCUGAUAGCCUCCACCGCGCCAUUUCCCACACACACCCAGACUGUCUGGCCAGGCCCUCCCGUGUUCCCAGGCUUCCUGCCCUGGUCCAUCAAGCCCUAGGGUAAUUCUGGAGCCGCAUCUGAUACCCACCUCCUCCGGAAUCUGCAGGAAGAAAACACCAAGGGAAUGAAGGUUGGAGAGCUCGCAGAUUUCCUUCCUCCCCUUCCACACCUCUCACACCCCUCCUUCUUUCUGAACCCUUAAUAUUUCCUCAUCUUUGACCUAGGUCCUCUCUGACCCCUCCCCCAACCCUUUCCUUUCCACCUGUGCCCACAUCCCUUCUCUGGCCCUUUGGUCCCCUCCUGCUCUCGGACCCUCAACGUUUUUCUCUUCCUGUUCCUGAAUCCCUUUCUCCAAUGAUAUCUGCAGUGGCACUCCUCUUUGAACCCACAGUACACUUCUGCCCAUAACGGUGCCCUUGUGACCCUCUGCCCCUCCAGACCCUCAACUUGACCUUGGCCUCACCUGGAACACGUGGAAGCCCACAGUGAGGGGUCCCCAAGGCCUCACCAGCGCUGGGCUGACUCCCACCGGAGUUGAAGCCUCGCACCCAGCGGCCCUGGAAGAUGUGGAUAUGCCAGCCGCCGCCAGCAGGGCUGGGGCCCAACACCUCAGGACUCAGUGAACAAAUCUGCACUGUGUUGAAGUGCGUGAGAAAGUCUUGAAGCUCCAUCCUGGAAAGCACCAGCCGUGAAAAGUACCCAGCCACUCCAGAGCCCGGCUUGAGGGGCCCCAGAAGUGCCCCCAGUUCCCUAAAGACUGCAGAAUAACUUCCAAUCUCCAGAAACCCCGAAGCCUUCAGGCCUUGGCAAUGUCUCCAAGUCCUCACAAAUACCUUAUCUCGGGAAGGAGUCACAAACGCCUCUCAACAUAUUCAAAUUAGCAUUAGAAAACCCGCAAAUAGGUCUGGGAAAAUGGCCGAGCCAAUAAAAGCCACUGCUGUCCAAGCCUGACAAGCUGAGAGUUUGACCUUAGCAUCUCACAGUGGAAGGAGAGGACUGAUCCUCUCACCACCAAUGGAGAAAUAGAAAAGUUUUAAAUUAUAUAUAGUUAAAGCCUCCCCAGAUUCCCCCUAAAUAUGGUUCUAUUCCAAUUAAAUCUCCCAAAAUCACUGACUCUACAUUCCUUUAGAUCCCCUCAUGCCUGUAAUUCCAUCCUUGCCUUUUGGAAAGCUGAGGUCAAAAUAUGGCCAUGAGACAAGGACUAGCCUGGUCUAUAUAGUGAGUUUUAAGCUAACCUAAUUUCAGUGUUCUCCCUCUGAAAACAAUGCCCUUUAUAGUCCUGAUCUUACUGCUUCUGCUCUAACUUUGCAAAAAAAUAGAUUUAGAUUCCCACAUCACAGCUGAUAGGGACCAUUGCUCUGCAACAUGACCCAUCCAUCCCA